rnacentral:lncRNA from 1 species
GUUACUUCACACCUUCCUGACUCCUCAAUUUCUUCCUCUGGAGAUAUAACAAGCCUCGUGUCAUUGAGUUGCACAGAAAAACAUGAUAACUGAUGUGUGCUGCACUGCUCUGUGGCUCACACCAUUUUCACCCAUUCUAUCCUCCCAAUAAACCCAUGAAGUGGGUACAAUUCACAUCGUCAUUUUACAGGUGAGGGAAUGAGAUACAGAGAGUUUAAGAAACCAGUCCAGGGCACACAGCAGCCUAUUUGCCCAUCCACCUUUGCGCAAGGGGGAAAAUGGAAGGUGUGUCUCUGAGGUUUUCUACCACAGAAUGUGUAACUUUGAUUUUCACACACAAAAUGGUCUCAACAGUGGUUGAAAUAUACAAAAACAGAAACCCCAAUCCAGCCCUUAGCCUGAUGCUCUGCAUGCUGUUAAGAAGGGGGUGUUGAAUGAUUCCAUUUAUUUGAAAUACCCAGGAGAGGGAGAAGGUUCAUUUGAGAACUUCCCCUGCUGAAGCUUUCCCUGACCCUCUGGGAGGGGCCGGACCCUCCGUCUGUGGUCCCACAACCCCUGAGGAGGAGGAGGCACUCAUCAGGUCCCUUGGCGCCUUGCAGCCCUUUUCUUGGGCCUGCCUUUUACCUCCAUCCUCCACUCCACUGAUGGCUCAGAGCCCAGAAUCCUGUCUUCAUCCUGGCAACAGUCCCUUCAGGGCCCAGCAGGAUGGGGGAAUGAAUAAAUGUGCCUGUUUCUGAACAUAAUCAUUAAAUUCUUUACCUGUAAUGUGGACAUUAAAGGUGAAUCAUUUCCCCCCUUAAACCCCCUCCAUCUUUCAAACCUGCUACCCCCGACCCUCACUGAGCAAAAAAUUGGAAAGCUGCUCUCACGGCAUUAUUGAAAUUGAAAUAGGGAAUAGAACCUGGAUGUCCGGAGCAAUCUUCUGACCUGGAAUUUUCUCCUCGCUUUGCUGCCUCUUGGGAAAAGCCUGUUCCGCACAAGCUGGCAAGCGCGAGAGUGCAGCCUGUGCCAGGUGUGGGAAAACCCCAGGGACCCCAAACCUCUCACUGCCUCGAGAGGAGCAGCUCAGUGCAGUGGAAAAUUUCAUGGAAGCCAAAAUCCCUGCCUCUUACUGGAUAUGAGGGCCUUUGAGGGGAACAUCCAACCUCUCUGAGCCUCAGUGUCCUCAUCCGCAAAACAGAUAAUAACUCCUCUCUCACAGAGUGUGGAUUCGUUUUUGAGGGCUGCUGUAACAAAGUACCACAGACCAAGUAGCUUAAACAAGGUAUGUAUUGUCCCAGAAGUCUGAGAUCAAGAUGUUGCAGGGUUGGUUCUGAGAGAGAAGGCAGUUAGAGGCUGGUUAGCCAGAUAGAGAGGGCAGGUCUCAGGAGUGGAAAAAUACCCGUGGGACAGCGCCUGCGCUACCCCUGUUGCUGGUGGAAAGAAAUGUGGUUAAGAAUUUCCUCUAAUGCCAGGAUGUUGCUCAGAAGGGACUGUGCCAACCUAGGUGCAGGCGCAAUGAAUUAACCUAAAAGUCCUUAACUUAACCCAGCUCAUUAUAAUGUCAUUGACAUGCCAUUAGCAUUGUGUUUUAGCCCUCCCCCUCCCUUCUCCCCGAUGUAUGUUUCACUUAGGCACUCAUGAGUGAUAACCAAGAUGAAGUCACUAUGGCCAACCCCUCAUAGAAUGUAUGGUGGGAUAACCUGCAAUAGGGUAGGGAGCCACCCAGCAAAAAUCCUUCAUGAGUUGCUUCUACCACCCAGGAAAGAUGAGGACAAUAAAAAUGUUCUCAUCUUGGCCUGCACAGAUGCAACAUCCCCAAGGGGGAACUUUACCCCUCCCACGUGGGCAGAACCCACAGAAGACUUCCUUGUCUUUGCCACAUAAAGACCCGGAACUCAUCCCCAUUUUUGUUAACUCUCCUUGGAUUGUCUCUCAUUGCUGAGAUAUUUUCUGUUG